AACGAGCGCUGGCGGCAUGCCUAACACAUGCAAGUCGAACGAGACCUUCGGGUCUAGUGGCGCACGGGUGCGUAACGCGUGGGAACCUGCCCUUAGGUUCGGAAUAACUCCCCGAAAGGGGUGCUAAUACCGGAUAAUGUCUUCGGACCAAAGAUUUAUCGCCUUUGGAUGGGCCUGCGUUGGAUUAGCUAGUUGGUAGGGUAAAAGCAUACCAAGGCGACGUUCCAUAGCUGGUCUGAGAGGAUGCUCAGCCAGACUGGGACUGAGACACGGCCCAGACUCGGACGGGACGGAGCGGUGGGGAGUACUAGAGGAGGGGCGAAGGCCUGAUCCAGCAGUGCCGCGUGAGUGGUGAAGGCCGUAGGGUUGUAAAUCUCUUUUACCCGGGAUGAUAAUGACAGUACCGGGAGAAUAAGCACCGGCUAACUCCGUG
rnacentral:rRNA from 1 species